GAUGAACGCUGGCGGCGUGCCUAAUACAUGCAAGUCGAGCGAACGGACGAGAAGCUUGCUUUUCUGAUGUUAGCGGCGGACGGGUGAGUAACACGUGGAUAACCUACCUAUAAGACUGGGAUAACUUCGGGAAACCGGAGCUAAUACCGGAUAAUAUUUUGAACCGCAUGGUUCAAAAGUGAAAGACGGUCUUGCUGUCACUUAUAGAUGGAUCCGCGCUGCAUUAGCUAGUUGGUAAGGUAACGGCUUACCAAGGCAACGAUGCAUAGCCGACCUGAGAGGGUGAUCGGCCACACUGGAACUGAGACACGGUCCAGACUCCUACGGGAGGCAGCAGUAGGGAAUCUUCCGCAAUGGGCGAAAGCCUGACGGAGCAACGCCGCGUGAGUGAUGAAGGUCUUCGGAUCGUAAAACUCUGUUAUUAGGGAAGAACAUAUGUGUAAGUAACUGUGCACAUCUUGACGGGACCUAAUCAGAAAGCCACGGCUAACUACG
rnacentral:rRNA from 1 species